AGUGAACGCUGGCGGUAGGCCUAACACAUGCAAGUCGAACGGCAGCACAGUAAGAGCUUGCUCUUACGGGUGGCGAGUGGCGGACGGGUGAGGAAUACAUCGGAAUCUACUUUUUCGUGGGGGAUAACGUAGGGACACUUACGCUAAUACCGCAUACGACCUACGGGUGAAAGCAGGGGAUCUUCGGACCUUGCGCGAUUGAAUGAGCCGAUGUCGGAUUAGCUAGUUGGCGGGGUAAAGGCCCACCAAGGCGACGAUCCGUAGCUGGUCUGAGAGGAUGAUCAGCCACACUGGAACUGAGACACGGUCCAGACUCCUACGGGAGGCAGCAGUGGGGAAUAUUGGACAAAGGGCGCAAGCCUGAUCCAGCCAUACCGCGUGGGUGAAGAAGGCCUUCGGGUUGUAAAGCCCUUUUGUUGGGAAAGAAAAGCAGCAGGUUAAUACCCCGCUGUUCUGACGUUACCCAAAGAAUAAGCACCGGCUAACUUCGUG
rnacentral:rRNA from 1 species